rnacentral:lncRNA from 1 species
AUGGAUUACUACUGUUUCAUACGUGGAGAGAGCAAGCUAUCGAUUCAGAAAAACAGGGCUUUUGAUUCCAUUGAAUGCACUCUAACUGAUUGGAGGGCAGUAACAGUGGAGAUGCUGCUGUCAAGACACUUGUUCAAGAUCUGGCAGCUGUAACAAAUAGCCGACCCGUCCAGUCUGUGACUCAUUCACCGGAGGCCCGUCUUUGCGCACCAUCACACAACCCUCAUCUCCUGUGGUUGAGGCACAGCCUGUGAUGCUCUUGGAGCUGAUGGACCACACAGAGUCGUCUGGCUGGAGCAACGAUCCAUUCGUGAUACGUGAGAUCCAUCCGUGAUACGUGA